rnacentral:rRNA from 1 species
UACGUAGGGAGCAAGCGUUAUCCGGAUUUAUUGGGUGUAAAGGGUUCGUAGGCGGCUUCUUAAGUCUGUAGUCUAAGGCUGGAGCUUAACUCCAGUUCGCUACAGAAACUGAGUUGCUUGAGUAUGGUAGAGGCAAGUGGAAUUUCUAGUGUAGCGGUUAAAUGCGUAGAUAUUAGAAGGAACACCAGUGGCGAAGGCGACUUGCUGGGCCAUUACUGACGCUGAGGAACGAAAGCGUGGGGAGCAAAUAGG